rnacentral:rRNA from 1 species
CAGCCGCCACGGGAAUACGAAGGGUGCAAGCGUUACUCGGAAUUACUGGGCGUAAAGCGUGCGUAGGUGGUGGUUUAAGUCCGUUGUGAAAGCCCUGGGCUCAACCUGGGAAUUGCGAUGGAUACUGGGCGACUAGAGUGCGGUAGAGGAUAGUGGAAUUUCCGGUGUAGCAGUGAAAUGCGUAGAGAUCGGAAGGAACAUCUGUGGCGAAGGCGACUAUCUGGGCCAACACUGACACUGAGACACGAAAGCGUGGGGAGCAAACAGGAUUAGAUACCCCUGUAGUCCCUGUCUCUUAUAC